UUGACAAUUGGAGGGGUUUGAAUAGACCUAACUAAUUGGCGUUCUAAAUUGGCCUAGCAAUCGAUGCAUCUAGCAAACAACCGUCGAUGGCGACCCACAUUGUAAGUGGCCACAUAGGUGAACUUAUCUGUAGUUAAAAGUCCACCUGACUAAGCCAAAGAUUCAGAGACUGAGAAAACACAAGCUGAAGAGGUUUUAGUUUUCAAUUAAACACAUUGUGUUUGGAACUGCUAAAUUCUACGUGACACAUCCGAAAUUCCUAGAAUUAGAAUUCAUCUGUGGAUGAAAUCAUGAUAAUCAACUAAAGUUUGGUGGCUGAGGUACAAAUCAAGGAUGAAAUGUUAUCAUGAGACAUUUGAAGUCAUGGUUGUAGACAGUUCUGGUUAUAAGGUGGUCUACCAAAAAUGAUAAAAUCAUAAAAAAUGGAUUCCUAAAGAUCAACUAAACCAUUACCCUUUCUCAAAGUUCAGUUGACAAAAUAUAGCACAGCCGCAAGAUGCUUCAUUAGCAAGUAUUGGUCCCAGAUGUUGCACAACAUACUGUACCUAAAUCCAGUAUGCACAUAGAAGACUCUUAACACAACCAAAUAACGUAAUUUAAACUACAUAUAACAUAAAUGGAGCUCAUGUUGUAGUUUAAUGUAGAGUGGUUUCAAUUCACAAACAUGAGAAGUCAUUUACCAUGGCCUCCGUUAAUCUACUUCCAAAUUUAAGGAACGUGAUCAUCUAGACAACCACAUGCGGGUGGCGAAACAAGCUGUACUUUUCUACCACGCGAUGACACUGCCGUCGAUAGUGCUUGGAUCAGGAGAGCUUAUAUAAAGAGUACUACUGUGAGACAUUUUUCUUUCGAUUCGUGACCCCCGGUAUGUAAGUAUCCUAUGUUAACAGGGGAAUAUUAUCUGUGUGGAAGUCGACAGUAUAUUUUGGUAUGCUUUUGUUGGGUUUUAUUAGGAUUAAUAUGUAUUAAAAUUUUCGGAUUUAGCUGGGGAUAGUCACUUGACAGAUUACUUGACUACUCACGACUAUUAAUUGAUUAGUGACUUUAGAACGAGUGUGUAGUCAUGUUGUCAUGGUAGGGGGGCUACUGUGUUUGAGAUCGUAUAUUAAUCAAAAUUGAAUUGUAAUGUUAAGUGUAGUUACUUGCAUGGGGAGAAAUUUUCUUUGUUAUUGUCUUAUUGAAUGGGUUUUUUAACUGCUAACAAGCAGGAUGAAUGUGGAUAGCUUUCUAUUAAAUAUUGAUAUAUUAUGGAAGUGUGAAUAGAAUGUGUUAUUUUAAGGUUGAUCCACCAUUGUAAAAGCAGUUGCAUGUGCUAUGUGAUCUGUAAUUCUUGGUUCUCCUGUGGUGUUUAAAUAUGAAUUAUUUGAAAAUAUGUUGGGCCAACACUUCAUAUUGAGGCAGCCUAGUGCCAUGAUGACAGAAGGAGGUAGCUAAAAGUGAAGCUCCUCUUUUCAGUUUCUGGUGUACUGAUUUAGGUUGUGGCUUUUGUAUCACUGGCUAUGAUUUUGUUGAUUGUAUCGAGUCUGUUACAGUGGACUUAUUUCAGAAUGUUUUAGUUCAGGUGAUGAGCCGAUGACCAACCUAGUGGAUUCUUGGAUACUUAAUCACACGUGGUCAACACAAUAUCAGAUUAUUGCUUGGACGAGUCAGAGACAAACGUUUGAAAGUGAUAUUCUAGCCCUCACGACCCCAGCUGCCGUUCUGCUUGAAAAAGGCUAUAUUGCGAUUAUAAUUUCACAAAGGUCCCAAUUCAGUUAACGUGGUAGAUGCCCUACUAUACAACCCCGCAAUCUUUGCUUGCGGUCUUCCAAUGCCGUUACAUUGUUAUGCAUGCAAUUACUCAACAAGAAAUUGGGUGGAACGGUGGAGAGAACAGGGUUCGCGAAGAUCGACAAUUCGAGAUCUAAUGACAGCGCAGAAAAGGUUGCGUUUCGUCGCAAAUUCUUCGCGUGACAUCUCUCCGCUGAACGCCGUGAACGUCGUUUUUACCGAGUACAGUUCCAUGUUUUGACUGAAAACGGACGAAAAAUGUUGCGUAUCUACUUCGACACCUACGGAUUGCAAGAGGUUUCACAUUGCAGAAACGCGAGGAGCAAUGUAUUGAAUACAUGAUGUGGAAAGCCCGUGCUCAUGCUGGGCAUUUAUAUCGAUAACAGUUUCCUGCCUGAAGACCAAUCUGAGCAGGGCGUCACUAGUUCACAGCAACUCGGGAGUCAUUCUUCGGACAGUGGCUUCUCAUUUCUUUUUCAUACCAACGAUCAAAUUUGGUGUGACGAAUUGUUUUAGAUUGUUAAAGCAAGUUUGCCUUUCUACUAUGUUUCCACCGACGUGCAUGGCUGCCAAGCUUCGACGUUAUGUCGUUCUUUUAAUCCGUAAGAAAAACGUCGGAAUUGUCGUCGAUACCUUUGUCAAAGUGAGAACGACUAAAGCCUUAAAUCUAACUUUAGAUAAUCUUCUCGGACAAGGUACUUAGAGACCGGAUUUAACUGAGUUCGUUUUCCUUAUGGAUCUCGCGCUGAUGCCUAUAAAACUUGUCAUAACAAUUCCGAAAUGGUUUGUCAAUUGGCAUUCACGGCCGUGGAAUAUAACCUCUUAAACUAAAUAAGUCCGACUUAACUUUAGGGGUUCUCGCCCCUAGUUUCGCAUGAAGAAGGAAUGUUCGAAAGCGGUCAGAUGAGGGCUCCUAGCUUAAUCUGACUAAAAUAAAAUAACACCGCGAUUUCAGUAAAACCAAAUGGACAAAAAUCAUAAGGGUGUCAUUGAUUGGGUGUUCAGAGUUGAAUAUGCUGAAUUAACUACACGAAUAGUUUGAAUCAA
rnacentral:lncRNA from 1 species